AAACAAUUCGAAAUUGACAUAACAAAUUAGAUCUAGAUGAUUACCUCUUCUUAAAAGCUUGAAUCUUGUUAUCCUUGGAGCUUAGAGUCACAAAUAUUACUCCUCUAAUGGGUUACAAACACCAAGAAGCAUGAGGAUGAUUUGGAGAGAGGUUGUAGGCACAACAUCGGCUCUAGGAACUCCUUAGGGUUUCUUGUUAGGUCCAGUUUAGUGUUGCGUCUUUUGGGCUCGUUAGCUAGUCCAAGUUUUGUCUCCGGUAUGGGCCUGUCCAUCCGUGAGUUUUAUGUAGGGUUUAUUAUAAAUAGAUGCUUGCAUGCAUCCUAGAACGUAACGAUUAGAUAAGAAUUGAUAGAGAUUUUCAAGCGUAUUCAUCGUUCUUAUUUUGUAACCCUAGAAUCCUCUACAGUGGAAGUUCUUAAUCGAGCUCUCUUGAGGAUUGAGUUAAUCUAAUCAUUCGACUCAUUCAGAUCCAUACUUGUGUUUUAUCUCACUGUUUUUACGUUCUUUAUUUACCUAUUACAGAUAUCUAAUCGAUCAAAGAGUUUUUAUAACUCAUCAAUUGGUAUUAGAGCAGGAGGCUGUGUAAUUCAUACACAUCUCUUCUGUGAAAGAAGCGAUUAGGGUUAUUCCACAUUAACUGAUAUUUAUUGAGCCGUCAUUCCAUAAUUGACGUAACUCAUCAUUUAUUUGUUUAGCCCUAAUAUUACGUAUUACAAGUCUGAUCUUUCAAACAGGUUAAACGAUCAUGCAUGGAUGAGUCUCAAUCUAAUCCUAUCAACAUCUCAAACAGCAUUGGAUCAACGACAAAGAUUCCUAUUCUUUACACCCAGGAUUACGAAGUUUGGGCGCAUCAUUUUGAAGACUAUCUCAUCAGAUCUGAAGAUAAUGGGUAUCUUAUUUGGGAAGCAAUUGUGUCUGGACCAUUUGCUCACUCAGGAACAUCUAAAAUCAUUAAAACUCAGAAAGACUAUAAUGAUCUGUUAAAAGAUGUAAAAGACGUUGCUCAAGACGAAAAGGAAAAGUUUCAGUGUAACAUUAAAGCAUUGAGACUGAUUCGAUUCGCUCUUCAAUAUGAUACAUUUAGGUUGGUGAGUUCCUGCAGUACCACUAAAUAAAUCUGGGAUAGGUUGCGAGAGCUAUAUUCCACAGAUGAAGAUUUGGAGCAUUCUAUUCAGACCUUGCCUUUGUCUGAGUUUGGUGAAUUUUAGCAGAAUUCUGACGAAACUGUCACUCAAACGUUUGAUCGCUUCAAUCAUCUUCUUAUCAAGAUGAUCAAACAUGAUAUAGAAAGGAAGUUGAUUGAAUAGAAGGUCCCCUUUUUGAAUGGCCUAAGAUCUGAAUGGAGAGUUGUCGUGUCUACAGUUAAAGCUCAUGAGCAGUUCAAGUCAUAUUCAUUGGAAAAGCUGGUGGAAAUUCUGAAAUCCCAAGAAAAGAUUGUCAUGCAAGAGAAGAAUGUGGUCUCAAGUUUGGGGUCCUUGGCUCUCCUAUCAAAAGGCAAGAAUGCAGUGGAAGACGAAGAUCUGAACCUAGAGGACUAUGAUCUUACAUCGGAAGAUUAUGCUAUGAUGGUGUCCAAUCCCAUGUGGUUCAUCAAGAAGAGGCUUCCUACCAAUAAAAACAGAAAUUGGCAGGGGAGCUAUAGUUCUGAAAAGGUAAGGGAGGAGCCGAAGACAGAGGAACCAAAGAAAGAGGCGAAAGUUGAAGGAGAUUCUGGCGUUAGCUGCUAUUACUGUGGAGGAAAGAACCAUAAUGCUAAAGAUUGUGUUCUGAAAAAAAAUGGCAGAAAAAGAUGAGGAAAAAGAUGAAGAGGCUGUCUUAAUGAAAAAGCUUGAAGAGAUCAAGAGGAAGAAAGCUGCUACUAACCCUUCUAUGAAUGCUCUUAUUGUACAGGGUUCGGCAGAGGAUGACGAGUUCGGUGGCGUGCAGGUAUGGUCAACCAACUCAGAGGAUGAUGAAGUGAGAAAGCCUUCACAUGGAAAGGCAUAUGUUGUGAGAGGUGACAAAAGAAGUGGGAAGUGUUUAAUGGUGACUGGUGUAUCUCACAUGAGGGGAUACAAUACUGAUGGUGGAAAAGAGGACACCAAGGAGCCAGAGGACUUAUGCUUCACAGCAAAACCUCUCAGUAUGCAGAUCAAUGAGCUUGAUGAAUUGAUCAAGAAGGUACAAUCUCUUUUUACUUCAUUCAAAGUCCCACAGAAAUCAUAUGAAAAGGAAUUAAAUAGCUUAAAUUCAAGAAUCUCAAAUCUGGAUAGUUGUUUAACUCAAACACGGGUCACCAAUUCUAACCUAACUGACCAAAUAAGCAGGGUGUCAUCCAAGAGUGAGGAGCGAAGGAUGUGGAUAGAGCAAAAAGAGUCGGAGCUGAUAAAGUCUAAGGAUGAAAACACUUAUUUACAAAGAGACAAUUUAAAACUUUUAAAACAGAGAAAUGUUUUUUGUUUGAUUGCUAAACGACUUUAUGCUAACAUCACUCAAUUACAUCUGAAUUGUGAAAUAGGGCAGAAAAUUCAUCGCAUGAUUUUGCCUUUCCUUGAGUUUAAGGAGGAUGAAAUCGAUGCUGAAGCAUAUAACUGCGAGAGUAUUGUAUCGUCUGAUGAUGUGAAUCCCACUUACAUGUAUGGUUUGGACAAAAUAGAAUCUUUCAUAAAGUCCAAGGACCAUAAGGACAUGCUGAAAAACCUUUUGGAUGAAAACGAUAAGCUGAAACUAAGGACCGAAACCAUACAAAAAUUUGACUCGUUGAAUGCCAAUUUAAGUUCAGAAAAUAAAAUUAAUGUUGAAAACGCAUCUGAACUUAAUGAGGACGAUGAUAUGAGUGUAAUUUCUGUAGAGGAUGAAGUCGACUAUUCUGAGUUUGUCAAGAGCGAACCCGAAAACCACAAAAAUCUAAUUUCUGAAAAUUCUAUGGAGUUUGCUCGUUUGUCCCAAAAUAAGUCCCCGAUUCUUGAAGAAAAAGCAGUUGUGUACCAAAAGGGGAGAACAACGCCAAAUCAGGUAUAUAAGGUCACAGGAGUAACCGAGCAUCAAACAGCCGAACUCACUGCCGUAGUGAACGACGAUAACGCAGCUGGCUGUGAUGAGUUUUUUUGGUCUGCUCCUAUAGAUAAUGUUGACAAAACUGUUGGUCUGUCAGAGCUGACGUCCUAGAAAACCAAAGGCAGAUAUGUACCAGAGCCAUUGAACAAGCCUGACAACUUCGACGUGCCAAGCACUAGUGGUACAAAAGAAGUUCCUGUAGAAGAAGUCACUUCCACAAGCGAAAUAUCAUCUGUGAAAAGUGAACCGGCUGAAAAAAAGCAGAAGCAAAAGGCUAACAUCCACAACAGCCGAAANCAAACAGCCGAAACAAGUGAAGGAUCAAAAGCAGCAAAGGAAUUAAAGAUACAAAAAGAAUCUCUCUGAGCGAAAGCAGUUUUGGCGCUAUCAAAACAAUCAUUUCUCUUAUCAUGAUAGAAAUUCAAAGUCAGAGAAAAAGGAUUUCAGGGCGCAUGAGGAACGGAACUGAAAGGAUAGGUUUGGUUCAGAGAGCAUAAGCAACCGAAAGGACAGGUUCGGUUCAGAGAACAACGACAACCGAAAGGAUAGGUUUGGUCUCGAAAGCAAUAGCUACCGAACAUCCAGGUUCGGUCCCUCCAAUGACCAAAAACAAAAGGAUCAUAUCGAACCGCAAGUCAGAAGAAAUUCCCAUUCUAAUUCUUCUAGCUCUCAAUUCUCUUCUAAACCUAAUUAUGUUCCUGCUCAAAGUUCGAAAUCAUCAAAGGAUUUGAAAGGAAAAGUGAAGAUUUCCUCUGUCAAGAAUGACCGAAAGCAGUCUAAGGCCCAAACGCCAAAACCUGAAACCAAAACGACUGUAGCUAAUCCUAAAAAAAUCAAAGUAUACACCAUUAAGAAGAAAGAUGAAACAACAUUAAUAAAAAGAACAUAUCUUGUUGAUGUUUCUCUUACUAUUCCUGUUCCUGUGAAAGGCUCACGUGGACCCAAGAAACUUUGGGUUCCUAAAUCUGCUUAAUUUUUGCAGGUUAUAAGUGACGAGCAGUUCGACGAAGAAUGGUACAUUGACAGUGGUUGCUCACGUCACAUGACAGGGAGGAAGGAGGAGCUAAGGGAGUUUCGAUCUCUUCAGAAUGGUGGGAAUGUCAAGUUCGGCAACAAUUCUUAUGGAACGAUAAAGGGUUAUAGGAUGAUAACCAAUGGAGACUUCAAAAUAAUAAAGGUUGCGUAUGUUGAAGGUCUACAGCAUAAUCUCAUCAGUGUAUCUGAACUGGUAGGAGGUACCGGUCUGAAAGUUUCAUUUGACGAUGAGGGUUCACAAAUCAUAGAAAAGAAAACAAAAAGAGUGAUUCUCAAAUCAGAACGCAAAGGCGAAAUGUUUCCUCUCAAUCUCAAACCUAUCAAAGGAAAUCCAGCUGUAUGUCUUUUAUCCAAAGCACAUUCUGAAGAAAGUUGGUUGUGGCACCGAAGGCUCUCACACCUUAACUUCAAAGACAUCAACAAGCUUGUCACAGGAGGUCAUGUUAGGGGUCUCCCAUUGCUCAAGUUUGAUCGAGAACAUUUGUGCGCUGCAUGUGAAAUGGGGAAGCAAAGUCGUCAAAGUCAUCCAUCCAUUAUAAACACAAAAGUUGUUGAACCACUUGAGUUGCUUCACAUCGACUUAUGUGGUCCAUCAUCAAUAGAAAGCAUUGGCGGUAGCAAGUAUAUCCUUGUUAUUGUUGAUGAUUUUUCACGUUUUACAUGGGUGUUCUUUCUGAAGCACAAAUCUGUGGCUACUCUGAAGCUAAAGAUGUUUAUUAAGCAGGUUGAAGUGCAACGGAGAAAAGUCGUUCGCAACAUCACGAGCGACAAUGGACAGGAGUUCAAGAACAAAGAAUUUGAAGACUUUUUGGCAGAAAAAGGAACCAGUCACAACUUCUCAGCUCCCUACACACCUCAACAGAACGGAAUUGUCGAAAGACGAAACCGAUCCUUGUGUGAGGCGGCCCGAACGACGCUAAGUUUCGCUUCUCUUCCUUUAUAUUUCUGGGCUGACACAAUUGCUGCAGCAUGUUGCACGCAGAAUAGGUCUUAUCUCAACAAGCGCUUUUCUCUUACUCCUUAUAAGAUCAUAAACAACAGAAAGCCGAACGUAAAAUUCUUCCAUGUAUUCGGCUCACGAUGCUUCAUCUUCAACUCCAAAGAACAUCGUAACAAGUUUGACGUUAAAGCUGAUGAAGGAAUAUUUCUGGGAUACUCACUUACUUCAAAAGCAUACCGGGUUUUAAAUAAGCGUUCGAGGAAGAUCGAAGAAACAUAUUAUGUGACUUUCGAUGACAACUACGCCAAAAAGCUAAAGGCUACUGAAGAAGGAAUUGGAGAGAUUUUUACUCAAACUGGUCAAGUCACGGCCUCGAUUGCAAAUUUGUUCGAACAGUUUGUGGAAUUAUUUGAUGAACCUGAGAAAGUUACUCUAUCGGAGGCCAAGGCUGCAGACAACAAAGUCGACCAUCUGAAGCAAAUCGUCGAAGAUGCCGCAAAAGAAUGGNAAGGAGAACAUGUUCCAAACGAACCUCCUAAGCAUGGUGCUUCAGUUGAGGGGGAGAAUCCACCUCCUUCAAAACAACCGAGCUCACAAAUUGAGGGGGAGGAUUCUAUUCCAGUUCCACCCAAAAGCUUAACUGUACCCGAAAGCCCUUCUGCACCCGAAAGCCCUUCAGCACCCGAAAGCUCAUCAAUACCAGAAAGUCCUGUAGCACCAGAAAGUCCAGCUACACCAGAAAGCUCUUCAGUUAAGGGGGAGAAUGCCGAUAUAUUCGACGACGUCAAUAGUCAAUCUGAAUUAGAAGAAAUGGUGAAUGCUGAAUUGGAUCCAUCCUAUGAUCCAAAUUACCCUCCUCUUGUUAAGUGGACCAGAGAUCAUCCUGUAUCCCAGGUAGUGGGUAAUGUCUCUGAAAAGGUCCUGACCCGAUCUCAACUGAAGGCAAAGCAAACAUCUCUAUUCUCCAAAGUAGAGUUCUGCAUGUAUAAUUCUUUCGUAUCAAAAGUUGAACCGAAGACAGUUAAUACUGCUCUUGAUCACUCUGACUGGGUUCAAGCUAUGCAAGAUGAACUCAACGAGUUCCAAAGAAAUAAGGUUUGGCGCCUCAUUCCAACUCCUAAAGACGCCUCAGUUGUUGGUCUCAAAUGGGUGUUCAGAAACAAAAUGGACAAGGAAGGCAAUAUAAUUCGAAACAAAGCUCGUCUAGUGGUGAAAGGAUACUGCCAGGAGGAAGGAAUUGAUUAUGAGGAACCUUUUGCUCCUGUAGCGAGGCUGGAAUUUGUUCGAAUAUUUCUAGCCUAUGCUGCACACAAGAACUUUGAAGUCUACCAAAUGGACGUGAAAUGCGCCUUUCUGAAUGGAGAACUUGAAGAAACAGUUUACGUGGAGCAACCUCCUGGAUUUGUUAAUGAAAAGUACCCCAAUCACUGUUAUAUUCUGGACAAGGCGGUUUACGGUCUGAAACAAGCACCUAGGGCAUGGUAUGAAACGCUAACCAAGUUUUUAAAGAUGUCAAAAUUCAAACAAGGUUCGGUUGACCCAACCUUCUUUCGUAAGAAGGAAGGUAACCACCUUAUGAUUGUUCAAAUCUAUGUCGAUGAUAUCAUCUUUGGCUCAACGAAUCCUAGCUUAACAGCUGAAUUCAGAAAGCUGAUGGAGACUAAAUUUGAAAUGAGCUCAAUGGGUCCGAUUAACUUUUUCCUUGGUUUAAAUAUUAGACAGGGACCCGAAGGCAUCUUUAUCAACCAGGAAGCUUACACCAAGACUCUUCUUGCUAAAUUUGGCAUGAUGGGAGACUCAAAGGUUAAAGUUCCAAUGGCAUUCGGCACCAAGCUCACACCAUCCUUGGAAAAACCGGCAGUCGAUAUUACGUUAUAUCGCCAGAUGAUUGGUUCUUUAAUGUACCUUACUGCUAGCAGGCCUGAUAUAAUGUUUUCUGUCUGUUACUGUGCUAGAUUUCAGGCGAAUCCUCGUGAACCCCAUAUGCUUGCAGUGAAAAACAUACUCCGGUAUCUAAAACGAACCACCUCUCUCGGUUUAUGGUAUCCAUCAAACUCAGGUUUCUUCGUUCAAGCCUACUCAGAUGCAGACCUUGGAGGUUGUGGUUUAGACAGGAAAAGCACCACUGGAGGCUGCCAAUUCCUAGACGGGAAGUUGGUUAGCUGGCAAUCAAAGAAACAGACAUGUGUAUCUCUGUCUACAGCCGAAGCAGAGUACAUCGCAGCUGCCUCCUGUACAUCUCAAGUGAUUUGGAUCCAAAGCCAGCUCCGGGACUAUGGACUCAAUAUGAAAAAGAUCCCACUAUAUUGCGAUUCAGAAAGUGCAAUUAGGAUCUGUCAUAACCCAGUGCAACAUUCCAAGACCAAGCAUAUAGCACUGAGGUAUCACUUUAUUAACGAUCAUGUGGAAGAUGGGAACGUCGAAAUUCACUUUGUUCGAACCACUGAUCAACUGGCUGACAUCUUCACCAAAGCUCUUGUUGAAGCAUCUUUCAACAAAAUUCUACAAGGGCUAGGAAUGAUGGAAUCGGAGUCAGUACCAAAGACUACUUCUCAAAAUUAAAAGUUGGAAGCGAAAUAGACCAAACGUUCGGGUUCGGAUCUCAUGUGUGCCUAAAUGAACUGAACGCUCGGGUUCGGUCGUAUUUUCUGAUCGUCGCGUAUCACUCAAAGGUAGUUUCUUUGGUUGUAAACCUUUUGUAUUAUUUUCUCAAAUUCAUUUCUCUUAUUUUCAAAGUUCUUUUCUUUUUCAAACUUAUUUUUUUUGGCAACCGAAAUAGACCGAACGCUCAGGUUCGGUUCCAAAAAAAAUUUUAAACCGAAAUAGACCGAAUGCUCGGGUUCGGUUCCAAAAAAAAAUUUGUGUGUGUCAUUCUUUUUUAUUUUGUGUGUCUCAUUUUUUUUAAAUCAAAAAAAAUUCCAAAUUUUUUUUUAUUUUCUUUUCGUGAAUUCAAAAACUCCAAAAAUAUUUUUUAUUAUUUUUUUUUCUAUUGUUUUGUUUUGUUUUGUGUCUUAUCUUUUUGUGUGUCUAUUUGUGGGGAAAUCCUUUCACUAGUUAAGUGUCCCUAGAAGCAUGUUGUUGUAUGUGUCCAAAGCCUCACCUGAUUCUGAAUAAUAGCCUUACUGACUUGGUACAAACAAACCUUGUCUUCCCAAUUAGGCUUUCAUAUUUAUUCUAAUCAUGAGCUACCUAACUCUCUUCUCACAUGAGAUAAGAGUUUUUUGCUUGGUCCCUAUUUUACCAGCAGAGGUACUUUGGUUUCUUUACACCAUGUACAUUACUUUUCUCCAUCUCAUUCGCUUCAUAAACGUAACCCUUGAGACUCUUAGAAAUUACCGCUGAGGUUUAUGGUUACACAAUUUCUGUGUUUAUGAUCUUAGCUUCGUGUCACUACGUACUAAGUGAAACCCACAAUUCAAUACCUACUAUGCAUUAACGGUGAACAAUCAAUUUUGCUCUAAGCUUUCACUAACGAAUUGACGGAUAUAUCAAUGAGGAUGGAAAGUCAAAUCUGUAAUUUUCUUUUGUGUGAUUCCUAUGAAAUUGUUAAGUCCAAUAACAUUUCUUCCCUUGGAAUCCAGUUUUAAAUUUUUUUUUGAGAUUUUACAUAAACUAUUUUAUCUUGCCACUUAAAUUAUUUCAAACCUAUUUGUUCAAUAGACUACAUUGGUCUCACAAGGACUUCGUUCGAUUUCUGUCUUAUAUGAAGAUCAUGAAUUCUGAAUUGAAGCAAAAGCCACCCAAAUAAGCCUAAUUAAAAGAAGCCUUUCAACACUUCUCAAUAAGUGUCUGAUCGUUAUUCAACGGGAAACCAUACAAACACUUUAAAGUCUCUCUUGACUUUGAAGGAAGAGAUUCGUGCCCGGGAUCCUUUGUUUCGUGUCUUUACUGACAUCACAAAAUCCCUCAUAUAUGUUGCUUUAUUUCUUUUUCUUUUACACACUAAGCAUGAAAAUCUUUUUGAUUUUCCAAAAUUUUGGUUUCAUUAAUUACAAGGCAUAAUUUUUAAAUGGGAUUUGCAGUUAUAAGGGAGUUGUGGUUAAUAUUGAUCCACGUGGUCAAUUUUGCUUUAAGAUGUCGUUUAAUCUAAAAGGAUAAGAUGCUGACUCAGGCGGGAGUCCAAUCGAUUUGAUUUUCAAACGGCGCUUGAAGGCCAGGCGUGCAAAGUGGAACCGUUUCGUUUAAAAACGGCGCCUGAUGGGAAGACGUGUAAAUCGGGACUGACACUCUCUCUCAUGCAUAAUCAUCGGUGAUACCAACUGUCACGCAUCCAUCACUUCCGAAAAACCCUUCGUAUUUCCCUCGAAGAUUUGGGACAGAUUCUUCUCUCUCCUCUACCCACAGUAUAAAAGGUAACGUAAACCAUUGUUUACCUCUUUACUGCACCCAUAUUUCAGAGAGCAAGAAAACCUUCAAGCAUUCUACUGUUCAUCAUCUCUCCCAUCUUCUUCACAACAAUGGCGGAUUCAUCAUCAGUUCAUGCCACUUCCCACAUCCUCCCGAUUCGUCCCCAACAGAGUUUGAUCAUCGAUCUUACUCCUCAGGUCUAUGAUGCUUUCAUGUUCCCGAUAAUCGAAUGCCUCAAGUACUCGCCGAUUGCUCCUGCUCUUACCAAAGUUGAAGCAGUUCCUAUGGAGUUCUUAUCUCAGAUUUUCGCCACUGCUCAUUACGACAAGGCAGUCGACAGGAUCUUCUUCGAUGUGCUCGAUCACAAGGCGUCAAUCUCCAAGCAAAGGUUUUGCUCAAUUUUAGGGUUUGAACCUGAUUCAACUAGGGUUAACCCUGAAUCGAUUCCGGUAGGUCACAUGUUCUCUAUGUUCUACAACAUGGGGUAUACUGAGAUGCUGACAACGGUCACGAAGUUCAAGAAACCGUGCCUGCCUCCUCAGUGGAAUGGGUUGUUUACAGUGCUGUUCAAGGGGUUGUCUGAACGCAAUGCUGGAUCAGACGGGGCAAGUCGUCUGUUCAUCUCGAUUUUGUACGGGAUCUACAACGGUAUCAACUUGGACUACGGUUCAGUCCUUUGGCAACAGUUGAUUCAGAGUCUGUCUUCUACAUCUCGGCAUUUCGAGAUUUCCUAUGAUCGAUUUUGGACUCUCAUUACAAAAUGGNNNNNNNNNNNNNNNNNNNNNNNNGGUUCUCCAAUGUCUUUGAUUGGUACUUUUCAUACCAUGAAGAUCAUUGUCUCUGAUGCCUCAAAAUUUCAAUUCAUUGGCUCAAUCCCUGAGUCGAUGUAUGGAGACGUUCCUGCUGACAGCCGGAUUAUUAAAACAUACAAGGAGUUUCGACGCUCUGGUCCGAGAGAGCUUACUCCUGAAAUGGUCAAGUCCAUCCAUGAAGCUGACAAGCCUGCGUCAAGGGGAAAGAAGGCUGACAAAGGCAAAGACAAGCAAGUUGGUAAGGGAGCGAAAGGCCCAUCUCCCAAGAAACGAAAAACCACCAGGGCUGUCCAAUCUCCUCCGCUGAAGAAGAGAAAAACCCAACCAAGGCGAAAGCUGGUUAUCGCUUUCUCCUCAAGCGAAUCUGAGGGAGAGAGUUCUGACUCUGAUGGAUCUCCUCGUGGUAACACUCCACCACGAUUGCCUACUCCAGAAGUUCACUUUUCCACUUCUCCAAUCUCUUCUCCACCAAUUACUAUUCCUUUUUCCAUUCUCCCCAUAACCUCCACCACUCAAAUACCAUCCACCUCCAUCCCAGUACCCCCACCCAUCUUUACCGAAGCAACUCCUACAACCGCAGACAUACGAACCAACGUAUCUGAUACGGGGGUCAUACUGACGCACCCAAACCCCCACCAACUACCGAACAUACAACCCAACCCAAACCUACUACAACUACCGAACCUCCACCCUCACCACCCCCCUCGUCUCCUGCUCAUGCAACAAAGAGUGAAGAACCAUUCCUCGGUGGGGAGGACAUGACCUUUGAUUCGGUCUAUUAUAGUCCAUUUCAGGUUCAGAGUGAUGACGAUGAUGAUGCUCCUGUCAUAAAGAGGCAUCUCAAGGAGCUUCACGAUAAAAUAGAUUCGAUCAUCGCCUCCUCUUCUUCAUCACAGUCCUCCAUCUCUGAAGCUGCUAUUCAGAAGAUCGUUGAUGCUUUUUCCAAAGCUCAUCAAGUCUCUCUAGACUCCGCCACUGCAACCAUUGAUGCCUCAACCAAAGCCUGUGAGGCAGGGACCGAAAAAGUCGAUAAACUAUUCACUGAUGCAUCUUCUUUGUUACAGUCAUUACAGGAAAAUGCUGAAGCCACCAAAACAAAGCUGGAACCCAUUGUCAACCAACUGGCUACCUCCGUUGCAUCAGAACUGAAGUCCUUUGCUUCUCUUUGUCACACUCUCUUAGACGACCACUCAGCGUUUAAAGUGACGAUUGAGGAAUGAUUGACUAAGCUCCAUGAGGAUCUUGCAGCUGAAAACUCACUCAUGGACGCUCUUACCAGAAAGACCACCGCUCUGAAGGUCAAGAGUCUUCAACUCUACAAUUCUCAAAAGGAGAUUGAGUCUCUUCGAACUGAAAGAGAGGUGAUUUCAUCGUGUGUUUCGGAUGUCCACGCAUCUAUCUCAAACAUCAUGGAAGCACAUGACCCGAUACUCAACUAUUAUGUGAGGCGUGAUCUUGCAGAAAAACUUUCUCCUGCCCUCUCUCUCCUGAGCAAGAUUGAAGGGAUCCUUGAUUUCGUAUCCAUUCUGAAACAAGGGGGAGAAAAAGAAAAUGUGUCUCAACCGCCUCCUACUUCAACAGCAACACACACAACUGAACCCCCUCCUACAGGCCAAGCCUCAGGUUCGGUUGUAAAAGACAAGGGCAAGAAAACUGCUGAGGAGAGCGAUGAUGAUGAUAAGGAGACCAUUGCCGACCUUCUGAAAAGGCAAGGUCGAGAUAGAAAUGUUGACAUCAGCGCUCAUGUAGCUAGAGAGGCUANAAAGAAGACAGAAAGAAGCUCACGACCUUCUCGAGAGCAGGAAAACUCUCUUUCCUCCUUGGACUCUUGAGAAGUUGCUGAAAGAAGCCAUCGAUACUCCAAGCAUCUUAUGGCUAGAACCGGUGAUCUCUCUAGAUCGUUCUAAUACUGUCGAUUCUCAGUUCGAUAUGCCACUGACCCGAAAGGCGUUCGUAUUCCAUGCCUUUGACAACAUUGUUGAGUUCCCUCAUCCUCAUCCAAAGGUUGACAGGGACUUAGUCGAUUUCUAUCUGAGGGCCGCUCAACCACAGUACCAAACAUGGAGCGCUCAGAAGAUUAUCAAUGUUCGGGUUCUAAAGCCAUACAGGGAAGGAAACUUCACCAACGUUCGGUUUAAGGUGCUGAGAGGAUCUGCCAAGACCGAACAUGCCUUCUUGCUUGCUGAUCUUCCCAACUUAAAUCCACACGACUGGAUCAUCUUGUACAGAAUCCUUCUUACAAACGAAGCAGAAUAUGGUCCGAUCAUCGAACACUUCAAGAGGAUGCUUGUUUGUUACAUCAUGGAAGUCGCCAAGAUGGAUCAGGAGAUAGCGAGCGUAUUCAAGAAAAAGCCUACCAUAUCUCCUAUUGGCUCAGCAAGUGACCUAAACAUGAUGCAGAUGGGAAAGAUAGACCCAAAGAAAAACUCCGUUAUGUUUACCAGAAACGAAGGCCAGAAAUGUCUUUUCGCUUUGGCAGACAAACAUCUCUAUACCACUGCAUGUCUAGAACAUGUCUUAGGGAUUAUUCAUAGGUGCAAGCAGAACACAUCGGAUGACAAGAAGUACUUUGAUGAUAUGAUUCAAUGGUACAUUCGCUUCAGACAGACAAUCCUCGUUCUUAUCUCACGUCUGUUUGAUACAACCAAGAAAGUUCCAGCAGCUGGUCCAAGCAAGAAGAAAUGAUAGUCUCGGUCCAAAUUGACGCAAAGGGGGAGAUUGUUAGGUCCAGUUUAGUAUUGCGUCUUUUGGGCUCGUUAGCUAGUCCAAGUUUUUUCUCCGGUAUGGGCUUGUCCAUCCGUGAGUUUUAUGUA
rnacentral:lncRNA from 1 species